GGCUAUUGAAAUCUAGAGGAGAGACUGGAUCCUAUCCUGAUGUGGUGUAGCAGCAUCAGUGUAGUGCUCAACAGCAGCUGUUCAGGUAUGUCUUCCUAAUGGGCACAAUUGGAUGUGCAGAAACCUUGCUGCCCUCUUCCUGUUCUCCAAGCAAAGUUCUCUGGAGCAGUGAAUAUACUGAGAGGAUCAAAGAACUAGGAAAGUAAACUUCAAAGAGCAGUGUACCUUUGGUAGUCACUUAGAAGAAGGCAGUGUUUCCCAUUUGUAGCCCAACUGUGCAAAAGAGCCAAGGAAUUUGGGAAAUGGUAUGCUGUAAGAUACAAUGGCACACAAUGAGAUGGACACAAAUAUGCAAAUCAUUUUCUUACACGUGCCUGAAGCUCCAUGUCUUUUGUGUUUGGAUUGAAAAAUGAAGCUACUGCACAACUGCAAAAUCUCCACCUGAAGAGUUGUGUGUGGGUCAAGUGUGUUGUUAGAUCUGAAGAGAGAGAGAAGAUUUCUAGCUAUUGCAUCCAAAACCGUGUGAUUGUAGAGGAAAUUAAUCACACAACAGCACAAAUCAAGCAGAAGACAGAAAAUGAAACAUCAGAGCAAUUGCAGAUGCUGCUUGGAAUAAGGCAUGUUAAAGUGAGCUAGAAGAAGAAACAAGAUUGCUGGGGAACUAGAUUGGGCUAAAUUCCCAGGUAGAUGGAAAUAAGCAGAUGGAAGUAUUCUAUUCUCUCCUGCUUACAUAAAGGAGUUUUUGAUUGUUGAUAUCUGAGAAAAAAAAUUGCUCUGAAGAAUGUGCCUGUUAAAAAUACCAGUUUGAAGACUAUGUUGAUUUGUAGGUUCUGCUACCAACCACCACAUAUACAACAAAAAUAUUUAGAAGGCUUCAUUGUGCUGUUUAGGAUGCAGUUAGAGUUAGUGAACUAUUUCAAAGUAAAAACGUACUAAGCUCCUGUUCCCCACAGAUAUUUCAGGCUCUUUGCCACCCAAUAGAUCAAAAUAUAUUGUUUAUAAUCUUUUCAUUUUAAGUUUUUCAUUUUCAAGUUUACAUCAUCCAGAAGAAUCACACAUCAUUUUUAAAACCAAAGUUAAAUUCAGAUAGCUCUCGCUGUUGUAAGAAGCAAGGAUCUGGGUAUGUGCCCAUUUUCAAGUAUGUUAUAAGUUCAAAAAUUGCUCCUGCAAGGCUUUGCAAAGGGUACUCAGUAUCUUGCAGUGCUACGAUUUAAUCUUGUCCUGCCUUUUUAUUUUCAGAACGUGACUGGCCAUUGCAAUGCUUUACCAUAUGUAACACCAUGGGACUACAUCACUGCCUGAAUCUCAGCAAUAACUCUCUCUUAAAUCCCCAGAAAUUUAAGUGAGAUGCACCUCAGCUCACGUAUGGAGCUCUGCAAAAAUGUGUGGGAACAUUUCCCAGAACAGAUGAUGUGUAAAGUACAGAAAUGGUACAAAUUUGUUUCUUUACUAUAUUUCACAGAACAUAGAUUUUUACCAACUAAAAAG
rnacentral:lncRNA from 1 species